CGUCACGUGCCGUUGCAAGUGUACCCAUCUCUCGUUGCGGUAUCGGGAGUGGUUCAUCGCACGUCACAAAAUGGGUAUAUAAAACACGUGGAGCUGGGUUUGUCCUGGUAUAGUAUUGGAAUCGAAGUAACGGAGUGUUGAGACGUCGAGCGUUCUGUUAAACAGCGGAACUAAAUAUAAGCAAAAUGAUACGGUCAGUCAUCAUCGUGUUAUCAACAAUACUGCUGGUUGCGUAUUGCCAGGCAUUUUCACGCUUGCCAAAAACCCGCGCGCGCCCUGGCGGCCUGUCAUGCCUUGACGUCUGCGACUCGGACGUCGAGUACUGUGACAUUCAGUGCAAGUGGUUGUACGGCGAUCAGAGACCCAUGGAAGACCUGGAAAACUUCACUAACUGCCUCAGUCGAUGCGCUGGAAUCUACGUCAAAUGCUUCAGCCGUUGCAAUUAUUAACGUUAAAUAUUUUAGCGAAAUAUUACAGUGACAUUUACUGCGAUGGUUGUUACUCUAUCGACAAUGCUUUUGUUUAAAAUGUUAAUAUUUGAUAAAAAGGAAACACAGCAAUCAUAUAAUGCUGCGCGAAUAUAAAACAAUAUCAACUAAUCAGGAUUUAAAUAGAUUUUUAUAAAAAUGUUGAUAAACUAUGCACAAGCAUUUAACGCUUAUAUUGUUAUUUAAAUAAUUCGGCAUUUUGGUAUAAACAAAAAAACAACCAACGCCGAUCAGUUCGCAAAUUGUGUAAUCAACAUAAAAAUGAUUUCAUCGCCUUGCACUUACCUCGGACCUAUGGUUACGUCAGAGGACACUGAGGUUUAUGAUCUUCCUUUAAUUGUCCAGCAUUGUUUUCCUUCAAAAAGUUUAGCUUACCUUACAGUGUUCAUCGUGUGUUUUGUCUUUAAUUUAUGAAAAUAAAUUCCAUUUAUAUUUAUUA